CAGUGGGGAAUAUUGGACAAUGGGGGAAACCCUGAUCCAGCAAUGCCGCGUGAAUGAAGAAGGCCUUAGGGUUGUAAAGUUCUUUCACCUGUGAAGAUAAUGACGGUAGCAGGAGAAGAAGCCCCGGCUAACUCCGUGCCAGCAGCCGCGGUAAGACGGAGGGGGCUAGCGUUGUUCGGAAUGACUGGGCGUAAAGGGCGCGUAGGCGGCUUUUUAAGUGAGGCGUGAAAGCCCUGGGCUUAACCCAGGAGGUGCGUUUCAGACUGAAAGGCUUGAGUGCGAGAGAGGAAAGUGGAAUUCCUAGUGUAGAGGUGAAAUUCGUAGAUAUUAGGAAGAACACCCGUGGCGAAGGCGGCUUUCUGGCUCGCAACUGACGCUGAGGCGCGAAAGCGUGGGGAGCAAACAGGAUUAGA
rnacentral:rRNA from 1 species